CCCUCCGCCCGCGGCGCCCUGCGGCGAGGCCGCCCCGGAGGCGCCUCAGGGGAGGCCCGGGCGCCGGGAGGGGGCCGCGGGCCAGGCUCGGCCCCGGGCCCGGGCACCAGGAGAGGGCCGCGGGCCAGGCCUCGGCAGCGCCUCGGGGCAGCCCGGCCCCGGCACCAGGACGGGGCCACGGGCCAGGCCUCGGCCCCUCAGCCCAAGCCAAAGGCCGUCCAGGGCGAGGUGCCGGGAGGCGCGCGUCCCCGCACACCGACUGCGGUGACAAACUGCCGAUUCCCACACACACAAGUAGCAGCAGCAGCUACAUCCCAUUACAGUGCUUUCGGGGACACUGAGAAGUCAUUUGCUAUUUUCAGUGGCGCUACACAAGCCAAGGAACCUGUCUGGAGAAUGGAUAACAGCAUCAAAAAAUAAAUCUGCUCUCUAAGGGCACACAUCUAUUAUACAUUUGCUAUAAAAGAGUUUACGUGCUGACUAAUUCCAAAGUUUUCUUGCUUUUGGGCAUCCUGUGCAAGGAAAAGCCCUUACAACUCCUUUGGGAAUGUCAUCCGUGUGCUGAACUGAUGACUGGGCUAUUCUGGCUUGUCUGAUCGGCUCUACAACAGCGUAAAUCCAGUCUGACCACCCACCUCUGGGACGUUUCCCCAGCAUGCACCCACAGGAACAGGAGGAAGUACAUCUUUCUGCAUUUGAGACACUUGCGCAUGGCGCACAUGGCCAUGGAAGAGCUGCAGCCUAGAUGGGACAGCGCAACUCAGCUGGGAAGAAAAUGAAAUGGAUUUUCAGAAGACUAAGAAUACUAUAUUUCCAGUUGGAGCAAACUUGUCAUCUGAGUAAAAGGCUCUUAACCAGCCUCCUUACCUGAAACUCCAUAGAGCGGACUGCAAGCAGCUGUGCACGUGGGAGCAAUCCAGCUGAAGCGAACAGAAUUGCUUGAAAGCUUGAAACCAAUCAUCUGGAGGAGUUACCUGAUACUACACAGGGAAAUCCAGCAUUUCCUAAAGACUCCUAAAGACUUCAAUGGUUUCUAGUUUUGAUCCUAGCAGAAGCCGUGACUCAGUAGACAUUAAAGCAUGUAUUUAAUUAAAACAUCCAACUUAUCUCAUUCCUGGGGAAAUAAGGCAGGUGAAUGUGUGUUUAGCUUAUUUUGUGUCUUUGCAGUAUUGUCAGAAAUAUCUGUUGAUUCCUCUGUUAUCUAAAGCUAAGUAUCUCUCACACUUUCCGCCUGGCUUUGGACCACUGCAGUGCUGUUUCUGGAAGAAAUGCCAGCAUUAUGAUUUGUGGCCAUGUUGCAACAGGAAGACUGAGUCUCAGGCGUGUUGGUUGCCUCCUGUCCCCAACCCUGCGCCGUGCCUCCCCCUCGCCCUCUCUGGGGCUGCAAGACCAGGCAUUUCCCAGUUCUG